rnacentral:rRNA from 1 species
UACGUAGGGUGCAGGCGUUAAUCGGAAUUACUGGGCGUAAAGCGUGCGCAGGCGGUCUUUUAAGUCAGAUGUGAAAUCCCCGGGCUUAACCUGGGAACUGCGUUUGAAACUGGAAGGCUAGAGUGUGGCAGAGGGGGGGUGGAAUUCCACGUGUAGCAGUGAAAUGCGUAGGAUAUGUGGAGGAACACCGAUGGCGAAGGCAGCCCCCUGGGCUAACACUGACGCUCGAUGCACGAAAGCGUGGGGAGCAAACAGG